rnacentral:rRNA from 1 species
AAAUUGAAGAGUUUGAUCAUGGCUCAGAUUGAACGCUGGCGGCAGGCCUAACACAUGCAAGUCGAACGGUAACAGGAAGCAGCUUGCUGCUUCGCUGACGAGUGGCGGACGGGUGAGUAAUGUCUGGGAAACUGCCUGAUGGAGGGGGAUAACUACUGGAAACGGUAGCUAAUACCGCAUAACGUCGAAAGACCAAAGAGGGGGACCUUCGGGCCUCUUGCCAUCGGAUGUGCCCAGAUGGGAUUAGCUUGUUGGUGGGGUAAUGGCUCACCAAGGCGA